CCUACGGGAGGCAGCAGUGGGGAAUAUUGGUCCAUGGGCGCAAGCCUGACCCAGCAACGCCGCGUGAAGGAAGAAGGCUUUCGGGUUGUAAACUUCUUUUCUGAGGGACGAAGAAAGUGACGGUACCUCAGGAAUAAGCCACGGCUAACUCCGUUCCAGCAGCCGCGGUAAUACGUAGGUGGCAAGCGUUAUCCGGAUUUAUUGGGUGUAAAGGGCGGGUAGGCGGGAAAGCAAGUCAGAUGUGAAAACUCAGGGCUCAACCCUGUGCCUGCAUUUGAAACUGUUUUUCUUGAGUGCUGGAGAGGCAAUCGGAAUUCCGUGUGUAGCGGUGAAAUGCGUAGAUAUACGGAGGAACACCAGUGGCGAAGGCGGAUUGCUGGACAGUAACUGACGCUGAGGCGCGAAAGCGUGGGGAGCAAACAGGAUUAGAUACCCUAGUAGUC
rnacentral:rRNA from 1 species